AAAGGAAGAGAGCAAGCACGGAACCACAUAGAACCAGGGAUGGAGGCGGAGCAGCGCAGAGGGAUGGAAGCAGUGCUGUGCUCAGCAUCCGGGAGGCUUGUGAAGAUGCAGGGAAAGCUGCAGGAGGGGACAGGAGUCAACUGGAAAAGCUCACCUUGGCCAAAGCUGAGCAGCCCAAGAAGGAAAAUAACGCAGAAUUAAUUAGAAACCAGAGUAUAAAGUCCCAUGAGUCCACGCUGGCACUAAUGAAUGAGUGGAUUGAUUAAUUAAUUCACAACCACAAAGACAAAUCUCUGCAAGUGAGUGCUGUGUGUAAUUUCCGCAGGGAUUCCACUCUUGAGGAAGAACGCAAGUCACAGACCGCACUCCUAUCGUGGGGAAGACAGAGGAAAGACAAGAAUAAGGGUUAUUUCUGGCAGCUUCCACUUUCUCCAGCCAGAGUUCAGCAUCCACUCUAGAAGAGGAAAAUGCACAGAAGCCGCCAGGAUCACACAGAGGCCACAUGCAAUUCUAAAUCACGACCGCGUCUGAUUUCUGAGCCUGCCGCUCAAGAUCUCCGGACCUCUGCUGGUUCUAGAUUUCCCUCCUUCCCAGCUGAGGCCAGCGAUGUUCUCUGUCCUCUGAAAGGGCAGGUGCAGGGCACCCACACCUUGCUGUCAUUUUUUCUACAUCAGCAAGAGCCUCGCCGUUGGAAGUCGAGGGGAAAGAUCUGAUUUGGUUACAGCUGGCUUGCUGGCCCUGUUUCCUGGUGAGGAAUAUCCAGGUUCGUUUGGUUUCGAAGGAGCAUGAACCCAGAGAAAAGCCCGACUGUGGGCAUUCAGAAGAGAUAAACCUUCUAUGACAGGAAAACCUAGUCUGAGCUCCCGGAAGAAACAAAGUCUUCCCCUGGAAGUCACUCUACCCUACUGCGGCCCCUACUCCCGACCCCCUCUUCCUUCCUCUUUUUCUUUCUUCAGCUCCAGUCUCCAUCUGCACCCUGUUAAAAGGGGGAGGGGGGAGAACAGAGCAAAACCAUCACCUUUCUCCACCUCUUAUGAGCUUGGGGGAAAUUCUUCUUUUUGAAAAGGUUCUAAUUCAUGAACGCCCUGCUCAGACCCCUUUCCGUAAGGGCCACAGGUCCAGGCUUCAGAGAUUUCCGGAGUCCGAGAGUGCUGGGAACUGGCAGCCUGGCUCCGGGUCAUGUGCACCCCAUGGCUUACCCUUGAGUUGAGUCAGCGGUCCUCAGACCACAGAAAGGUCAGGCCUAGCUGCCAAAGUGAAAGUGCUGAAUUAUACUGAAACUGUCAGGAAAAAAAAUAAAAUAAACC